ensembl:snRNA U6 U6 spliceosomal RNA
AGUGCUCCCUUCGGCCGCACCAUAUACUAAAAUUGGAACAAUACAGAGAAGAUUAGUAUGGCCCCUGUACAAGGAUGACAAGCAAAUUCGUGAAGUGUUCCAUAUUUUC